rnacentral:tRNA from 1 species
GCCUGGGUAGCUCAGUCGGUAGAGCAUGCAACUCUUGAUCCUGGGGUUGUGAGUUCAAGUCCCACACUGGGUA